rnacentral:rRNA from 1 species
GAUGAACGCUGGCGGCGUGCCUAAUACAUGCAAGUCGAGCGAACGGACGAGAAGCUUGCUUCUCUGAUGUUGGCGGCGGACGGGUGAGUAACACGUGGAUAACCUACCUAUAAGACUGGGAUAACUUCGGGAAACCGUAGCUAAUACCGGAUAAUAUUUUGAACCGCAUGGUUCAAAAGUGAAAGACGGUCUUGCUGUCACUUAUAGAUGGAUCCGCGCUGCAUUAGCUAGUUGGUAAGGUAACGGCUUACCAAGGCAACGAUGCAUAGCCGACCUGAGAGGGUGAUCGGCCACACUGGAACUGAGACACGGUCCAGACUCCUACGGGAGGCAGCAGUAGGGAACCUUCCGCAAUGGGCGAAAGCCUGACGGAGCAACGCCGCGUGAGUGAUGAAGGUCUUCGGAUCGUAAAACUCUGUUAUUAGGGAAGAACAUAUGUGUAAGUAACUGUGCACAUCUUGACGGUACCUAAUCAGAAAGCCACGGCUAACUACGUG